GCUGGGCAUGGUUGCGCAUGCCUGUAGUCCCAGGUACUUGGGAGGCUGAGACAGGAGAAUCACUUGAACCCAGGAGGUGGAGGUUGCAGUGAGCUGAUAUUGUGCCACUGCACUCCAGCCUGGGUGACAGAGCGAGACCCUGUCUCAA
rnacentral:SRP_RNA from 1 species